GUUCAUAAUGUGUUCCAUGUGUCUAUGUUGAGGAAGUAUACUCCAGAUCCAUCACAUGUUAUUGAGUAUGAGGCUAUCCCUCUUCAGGAAGAUGUGACUUAUGAAGAGCAACCUGUCAAAAUCUUGGCAAGAGAGCUAAAAGUGUUAAGGAACAGAGAGAUUCCAGUAGUCGAGGUCUUAUGGAGGAACCACAGGGAAGACGAAGCUACUUGGGAGAUAGAGUCCGAGAUGUAUAUGAAGUAUCCUCAUUUGUUUAAUUUUCAACUUGAGGUUGUACUUUAAAAAAUUUCGGGACGAAAUUUCUUUAAGGAGGGGAGAAUGAAAAGACUCGGUUUGACCGAGUCAAAUGUAUUUAUAUAUAUAUAAAAUAAUAAUAAAAUAAUAUAUAUAUGUAUAUAAAAAAAAAAAAUUUAAUUAUAUACAGAUUUCGUUUUCUCUCUCUCUCUCUGUUUAUAUAUUUAUCUAUCUUUCUCUCUUUCUCUCUCUUUAAAAUACCAAAAAAAAAAAAUAAAACCCAUAAACCUCCAUAACCACCACACUCCGGCGACCCACCUCCGGCCACCGUCCGACCCAACGCACUGGACAAAUUGAAAGCCCAAGUGCCGGCGACCUCACCCCCCAAGCGGCGCCGCUCCUCUCGCCGCCGUUGACUCGGGAUCGCAAGUCAAAGUUUGGGAUUUCAAACUUUGAACGGGUUUUCCGGUCACCUCCGGCGUCCGUUUGACGAGAGGUUUUCACCACUACACUCAGCUCGUCGAGGAGAACAACCUACACUAAACCAUUUUUCCCGGUUCGCAACUUUUUCCGGUGACAUUUUUGUAGCUCCGCCCCUUUCCGGCGACUUUCCGGUGACCUCGUGUACCGUUUUGACAAACGGUUGGCAUGAGUGUGAUCUACUCGUCGAGGUGGUCGUUUUGAUAUAUACUACUCCUAUUUUCGGCGACAUUUCCGGUACACCAAUUUUUACCGCCACCGAUUGUUAAUGUGCACCGCUUAGGUGAGGUUUCGGAAUCCCAAAUUUUAAAUAUAGUCAUAUUAUAUGUCGUUGGACUCGGUUUUGAAUGUAGAAUGCGAUGAUGAUAAUUAUUUAAUCAUUUGAUGGUAUAGGUGAGAGUAAUAUGUAAGUUUGGACUAAACAAUUGGAGCUCGGGACUUGAGAGCUUAAGAUCGUCUUUUGGAAAAAAAAAAAGUUUAACGACUCGGGAGAGGAACUCAGUUUGAUGCUAGUGGAUGAGGAUGGUACUGUUGGGAAAGGAAUGUCGUUAUUAGUUUAGUCAUAUUUUACUCUUUCACCUUCUAAUGAGACUGAUUUUGUAUUUAAGAACCAAUGGAUGGUCUGGAUGACUUAAAUUAGCUAUGUACUAGUUAGAAAUGAGAAAUGAUGGAUGCUAGGUAUUAUUUUGGUAUUUUAUUGACUUAUUAAAUCUAUCUAUUUGGUGAUUACAUAA